AGAUGAAACAGUUACUGUACAGUUACAGUAACUGUACAGUUAAUCAUCUAGUUGAGUUGGUUUCCCAGUUUGUGUGCGUCCAUGACCACAAUACAGAUGCCAUGACAGAGCCAGCAAAGAAAGUGAAGAAGGUUUCAUCAGAAGAGUGAAGGAAAAGAAAGAGAGAGACUGAGCAAGAGCCUGGAUGUGGGUGAAUAUCAGACUGGCUUACAAGUGUUGGUGCAAGCUUUAUGAGACAGAGACUGCAGGACCGAUGGACACCUAGCCUUGCUGCUAUUGGAUUAGUAAAUCCCUCCAUGUCCCUCAGCCUAAAGCCACUACAGCCAUGGGGGCUCAUCUAGUACAGGGGGGAGGUGAGAAGUGCCCACUGUACAUGUAUGCCUACUGGUCAGUGCCCUCUAAUGUGAACAAGGUGAGAGGAGCAGCCGGUAACACCAUUAACUACACCACAGGGGCAGCUAGGAAGAAGGCACUUGACGAACCGAC